UAAGGAAUAUUGGUCAAUGGACGCAAGUCUGAACCAGCCAUGCCGCGUGGAGGAUGAAGGUCCUCUGGAUUGUAAACUUCUUUUAUCGGAGAAGAAACCCUCGUUUUCUAAUGAGGUUGACGGUACCCGAUGAAUAAGCACCGGCUAACUCCGUGCCAGCAGCCGCGGUAAUACGGAGGGUGCAAGCGUUAUCCGGAUUCACUGGGUUUAAAGGGUGCGUAGGUGGGUUGGUAAGUCCGUGGUGAAAUCUCCGAGCUUAACUCGGAAACUGCCGUGGAUACUAUCAAUCUUGAAUACUGUGGAGGUAAGCGGAAUAUGUCAUGUAGCGGUGAAAUGCUUAGAUAUGACAUAGAACACCGAUAGCGGAGGCAGCUUGCUACACAGUCAUUGACACUGAGGCACGAAAGCGUGGGGAUCAAACA
rnacentral:rRNA from 1 species